UCAAGUCAUCAUGGCCCUUACGACCAGGGCUACACACGUGCUACAAUGGCGCAUACAAAGAGAAGCGACCUCGCGAGAGCAAGCGGACCUCAUAAAGUGCGUCGUAGUCCGGAUUGGAGUCUGCAACUCGACUCCAUGAAGUCGGAAUCGCUAGUAAUCGUGGAUCAGAAUGCCACGGUGAAUACGUUCCCGGGCCUUGUACACACCGCCCGUCACACCAUGGGAGUGGGUUGCAAAAGAAGUAGGUAGCUUAACCUUCGGGAGGGCGCUUACCACUUUGUGAUUCAUGACUGGGGUGAAGUCGUAACAAGGUAACCGUAGGGGAACCUGCGGUUGGAUCACCUCCUUACCUUAAAGAA
rnacentral:rRNA from 1 species